GCAUUCCUCUCGAUUCCGGUGUUACACUGUUUGUCUAAGGAUGAGAAGUUCAAGCAAGCAGAACUCUAAGGACUCUAAUGGUUUUACAUGAAUACAAUUGAAUAAACAAAUGGCAAGUCUGCUGCUAUUGACGCUACAUCUAACCAAUGAGAAAAUACAAUUUACACCAGCUAUGGAACUUCCAUUUUCAGAAGAUCUAUAUUUGCUUAGGGCUUCCGUAAAGCAGAUGCAGCACCCAUGACAACAGCCAAGACAAGGCCAACACCAGCCCCAAGGGAAGCACCCACAGCAGCAGCUGUCAAGGAAGAUGCCUUGGCUUG
rnacentral:misc_RNA from 1 species